GGGGAGCAGUCCAGAGCGCAGGGGAAACGCACUCUCGGCUGACUUUCCACCCCACACAGCCCGAUGCCUGUUCACCGCCAGUUUGCACCCCCCUGGCAGAGCUCCUGUUCCAGCCGAUGUACCUGGGCUCUGGCAGGACUCUUCUCUUCAAAGGAGCGUCGGAUGGUGCUAUUUUAGCUCCCAUAAACGCGUGAGCUUUCUCCCCCAGGUGCCCACUCUGUGCUCUUAGAUUUGGGUCAUCUGAAUUUGGGACCCUCUCACGGAUGUCUGCAGCACCACCAGCCUCCUAGAAGCUCAAAGGCCCACUUUGUGGCGUCUUGCAGACUGAGCCGAUACCUGCGCAUUCCGGAGGACAGGUCUUGGGGUGUGGCCUGCUACACCGGCUGCGUCCAGCGCCACUUGCAGCAGGCAUUCUGGAAAUGGACGCUCACCCAUGGGUAUGUGGCAAGCCCCGCCAUGGUCUAGGCAACGGUCUCCCUGGAGGCAAGCCCAAGCCCUGGACACUUCUCCAAGCCUCCUGGGUCACUGUCACCUUCCUGGUCCAGAGUUUUCAGUCUGAAGAAAAGAGUUUGGGCACGCAGGGAGGAUGGGAUUGAACGCGGCUUUGUUCCUUGCUCAGUGGGCAUCUGCACAUCCCAAGGGGCCACAUGGGGUUACAAGGAGGGGAGUGGGAUGAGUAUCCAAGGGAAGUGGAUGUGGCUCACCUAAGACAGAACCUUCUGGUAUCUUCAAAAGAGAGUCACCUACAUUGACUGAGCACCUUCCAGGUGUCAGGCAGCAGGCUGGGGCUUGCCCUGCGUGGUCAAGAGCAUGGCCCGGGUGGCCUCAUUUAUCUCCCGGCUCACCACUCCCAGGGCUCACCUUGGACAAGCUAUGCGAUCACUGUGGGUCUGCUUCCUCACUCUUAAGACUACAGCACCCAUUGCACAGGGAGGCUGGGAGACCAAAUUGGUACCUACCAACCACCUACAGCAGUGCCUGGAUAUGGCAGGUGUGCCCCAGGUCGCCUUUCAGAAGAUGGGGCAGGGCAGCUGGAGCAAGGGAACAUCCACAGGAGGCUCCAUCAGGAGAAGCCUCAGGUGGGAGGUCCAAUGCAAUGACCUCAGGUUCCUCCCAGGAAUAACAUUUUGUGGUUCGUUUAACCUCCAGGGUUUUAGUUUCCCAGCAAUCAAAUAGGCAUUGACAUCCCUGGACAAACCCUGCUUUGUUCUGCGUCCAUUCUCAGCCUUGGGAAGAGCAGGGAUUAUGGAGGAUGGCUCUUUCCACCACCGGCACAAACGGAACGCUGGACGGCAGUGGUUCUGGGUCCUGACCCCCUUCCCCAUACAACAACUAGGUGGUUGUCAGCUAGUUUUUGAAAUUCUGAGAGUUGGGGACAAUAAUUUCUACCAGUCCUAUCCACCUUUCAGGUUUAUAGGCCUUGGUGAUCUUUUGGGGAGAUGGAAGUCACCAAGAACCUAAUAAGCCUUUGGGAAGGGGACUGACCAUCAGAAGUGGCACGGCAGCCUCGGCCCAAGGGUGGGCUGUGCUCACAGAGGCUGGGGAGGGGCUGCAGAGGGGCUCCAUGAAAUGGCUCCAGAAGGACAUUUUGGCCCUCCCUAAACCCACUCUCAAGUCCCCAACUCUGAAACCUACUCUACCACCACCAGAAAGAGAAAGACCCCCAACCCAUCCUAUGAGCAACCUUGCUACGGAUGUUAUUUGUAGUGAUCUUGGGACUGAACUAAGCUACAGGAGACCCAUCAAGAGCAAGAAUAGCCCUAACUGUCACCCAGUGCUGCCUCAGACUUCUUCCCAAAGAUAGCCCCAGUUAUUCUGCUGAAAGAAAGUCCAAGACCCCAGUGAGGUCCCCUCCCAUGAAUCCCUGGCUUACAGCCCAGGGCAGCCAUGCCAGCCAGCCUGGAGCAGCUGGUGAAUAGACUGGACUCUGGCUGGUCCUGCCAGGGUGGGGCUGGAGCUAACCCUUGAGUCCAGUGUCACUUGACGGCUCGUGAGAGGGUCUCACCAAUGCUUCCAUCAUUGCCUUUUUCCUGUUUCUACCCCAUGCCCUUCCCUGGACAGCCUCCAUGGUGGAAAAGACCAACACACAAUUCAGAGAAUACUGCAAUGAGGGGUGGAUCCUUAGUUGACUCCCCAUCUGACCAUCCCACUCAAGGUCAAAGAAAUCACACCCAAGACAGAAAAGCAUCCCAGUGCAGAGGGCCCCACUGCCAGCUCCCCAGGCCUGCUGGCCGCUGGCUGGGCUGGUGUGGGCCAUGAGGGUAUCAGCUCUAGAAAUGAGCUUCGGCCUCAUGGCCUAACACAUGAGGAAUGGAAGUGGCAAGCAAGCCAGAAGGACAGUCUAGGAAAUCAGAGGAGGAUCCGUGUAUAUUCCACUACACACGCAUAUGUGCACACACAGACACACACAGGAACACACAGGAACUGUCAUCAGAGUCUGAAAUCAGACUACCCGGGUUUAAAUUCCAACUCUACUUCUUACUAGCUAUGGGAUUUUGAGCUAAUGAGUCAUCUGUUCUGGAUCUCAGCUUCCUCAUCUGUUAGAUAGGUAUAACAACAGCUCCUUAAAGUUAAUAUCUUUGUCCAUUUAGGCUGCUAUAAGAAAAUCCUAUAGAUUGGAUGGCUUAUAAACAAAAGAAAUUUAUCUCCCAGUUCUGGAGGCUGGGAGGGCCAAGAUGAAGGCACCAUCAGGUUCAGGGUCUGGUGAGAACUUUCAAAGAUAGCACUUUCUCUUCACAUCCUCACAUGGUGGAAGAGGUGAAGGACCUCUGAGGGAUCCCUGUGAUAAAGGCACUAAUCUCAUUCCUGAGGGGCCCAUCCUCAUGACCUAAUCAAUUCUCAAAGGCCCUACCUCCUAAUGCCAACACAUUGGAGGUUAGGAUUUCCACAAGUAAAUUUGGGGGAACACAAAUAUUCAGUCCACAGCAGUUAUUAAGAGGAUUUUUAACUAAGAUAACAUACAAAGACUCCACUGUGUCAUGCAUGCUACGUAAUACGCAGUGAAUAAACAUUAGCUAUUAU
rnacentral:lncRNA from 1 species